AAAUGCUUCAGCUGUUACCAAUCCGAAGAUAUACAGAUGCUAUUUCAAAAGAAAAAAAACCAGCCUAUUCCUUUCUUAAAGGGCAAACUUCAAGAACCACAUGGAUUCUGCACCAAGAACCGACUGGAGGAAAAAUGAAAACGAUCGGAAAACAUCAGUAAGUUACAAGACGAAGACAAGCAUGGGAGUAGCAGGUUAUUGUUGUUGUUCUCUACUGUGAAAUUUGGAAGUGAAUGCUGGCACUUAGAUGGUAUUAUUAUGGAAGUAAAGUCAGUUACAAUACAAAUCGUAAUGGUGCACACGAUUUCACAUAGUUCAGGGAUGAUAAACAACAAUCAAUAUUCAUCAAAGGUGAUAGUUCCUCGAAAAGUGGUUUGCUUUUGGAAGAAAGUGUUAUAUGUGUUAGAGUAUAUAUUGAAAUAUUCAGACUGGAUUUAACUUUCAACACCGUUUGGAAUAUACGUAGAUAAAGUGAAAGAGUAUAAUUAAAAGUGAUAUUAAAUCUGGCAUUCACAUAGAUAUGAUAAGGAAAUAUAGUUAUUGGUGAUGUUCAGAUUGGAUGUAAUUUUCGAGAAAAUUUAAAAUUUUCAUAAAGAGAUGGAAUGCUAUUACUGGUGUGUUCGUUUCAUUCUUAUAAAUAUUUACUCAAACAAGACUUUCUGGAAUAUGAUUAUAUAAAGGGAAGAAAUAUAAUAAGUGAUUGUACAGCCAAUGACAAAACAAGUCGUCUCAAACAUGGCGGAAGAAAGAUGCAAACAGUGUCAGUAAUUUAAGGUAUUGAAAUAAUUUGUACUAGAAUGGAACCUGUGAAAGCUUUAAAAUUAUUGAAGUGUUUUUUUUUUCAAAGACGGAGAACAACAAUCAAUAUGCAUGAUAUCUUUCUCAAGUGGUAUUAGAAAAUAUUACUACAAUCUGUUUCACCUGGCAAUUAUCUGCUAUUGAUCAGAACUGAAAAUAUUGCGAGGAAGUAGUUGUGGUUUGGGAAUGAAUACUAUACGCUUAGCUAUAUACUCAAAGAGGAUUAAUGUUUAAUGAAAUUAGGAAUAUACACAUAGAGAAUGAGUAUAAUUAUUUGUGACGAGGUUUUAUUUGAUAAUUAAUAUGCAUUCAAAUCAGAUUUUUACUUUUGCAACGGAGUUUGAAAUAUCACAGAUCUAGUGAAGUUAUUUGUGAGUAGAUUUUAUUAUAAUUAUUUUUGUGAAUUAAAAUCGGAUCUAAUAUUCAAUACAGUGUAACUAUUUGUGAUAUUAAGUAUGGAUUUAAUUUUCAACACAAUUUGAAAUAUAUAUAGACAAAGUGAAGGAAUAUAAUUAUUGGCCAUUUGGUUUUAUUGUGAUCAUUAAAAUUCAAAUCGGAUUGAAUUUGUAAUUACUGGUGAUAUUCUAAUCGGGUUUAAUUUUCAGUACAAUUCGGAAUAUUCAUACAUAUAGUGAAGGUAUAUCUUUAUUGAUGAUGUCGAUGUUUAAUACAAGUUGGAUUGUGCAUAGCUGUAGUAAAGGAUUGUCAUUAUCGGUGAGUAAGUUUCAUUCUUAUUAUUAAUAUAUAUAUUCAAAUCUUGUAUAAUUCUCAAAACUCUAGGAAUGAACAUUGAUGAAAUCAAGGAAUAUAAUUAUUAAUGACCGUUAGUUCUAAUCGAGUCCUCCGUGGCCGAGCGGUUAAGG
rnacentral:lncRNA from 1 species